rnacentral:lncRNA from 1 species
GACGGUGGCGAUGAUGGUGCGGGGCCACCUCUCCAAGCUCCGGACCGUGCUGUACGUCGCCGCGCAGCUGCUGGCAUCCUCCCUCGCCUGCAUCCUCCUCCGCUACCUCACCGGCGGCAUGGUACGCGUCCCGUCCAAUCCAUCCAUGGAUCUACUACCUAUUUUUACUCUGCUUUACAUACGCGGUCCGGAGGAUCCGGGGAAAGGGGACGGAAAAUUUGCGUUCUUCUUCGAUGAGUCUCGAAUUGAUUUGGGCUGUCGUGCUGUCGGACUGCGAUUGUUCGGCAGGUUUUGGCGGGCCAUGCUUGUCCGUCUCAAAUUAAUUUGGGCUGGGCCUGAAUAUGCUUGGAACGCGUAUUUGUAACUGUAUGUAUGUAUGGGUGACCCUGGCCCUUUUUUACGGGCUCGAGUGGGCUUAUGGGUAAAUAUUUUGUUUAAUUUUGCUUACUUUUUGUGGAUUUUAUUAAAAGGGCGAAGAAAACUUUUUUUCAUAACAAAAACUGAACUGUUUUUUUCUAGACGCUGUGGCCAGUAUUUAAGAAGAGUAGUAACAAUUACUCCUACCUCACAAAAGAACAGUGACUAUCAGAAUCUUCUCGAAGGAAAAAGAACAGAUAAGGAGUUAGGGAGCCACAUAGUGCUCGAUCAAAAACUGAAGACCCAAACUGUGGCUAUAUGAUACUAAAUUGUUUGUUUCCUUCGUUAAAAGUGAUGAAUUUUAAUAUAUCUGUACGGAUUUUAAGUUUAGGAUGAGUUAUAACAAGUUCAGUUUCAUGAAAGCUUGUAGGUUUGAGGUUCAGAUUUCACACAAACAUGCAGUGCUUAAACAAUCUUUUCCACCAAAAGUUGUGUCUUUGAUUCAUAAGUUACCUGAUGGCCUCCUAAGUUUGUAUCAUUCACCUAUCUAUCCGGUGCCCGAGCUUUAGUUCUCUUUAGCCUAUGAUCAAUCCAACAUUAGAAGCAUGGAAGUCUCUUCUAUACAGCUAACUAAAACAAGUUUACAGUCACAAAGGAUAACCAACUUAGCAGAUCAGAUUUGCUGAUGUAAGGAUUGAUUUGCAUAGAAUUGCUCGUGAAGUUACCAAGGUGCUAUCAAAUGUGACCUUUCAAAAGUUGAAGAGCCAGUAAGUGCGUUUGGAUGCAUGGAGUAAUUUUUAGGUCACAUCAGAUGUUAACUUGAACUAAUUAUAAAACUAAUCGAAUAAACCAUAGCUAAUUCGCAAGACGAAUCUAUUAAGCCUAAUUAAUCCAUAAUUAGCACAUAUUUACUGUAGCAACACAUGAUCAAAUCAUGAACUAAUUAGGCUUAAUAGAUUCGUCUCGCGAAUUAGCCUGAUGCAAUUGGUUUUGUAAUUAACCUAUAUUUAAUACUCCUAAUUAAUAUCUAAACAUUCGACGUGACAAGAUUAAACUUUAGUCUUGUGGAACUAAACAGGGCCUAAGUCAUACUAUCGUACUUGUCAUUAACUUAGACAGGGUAAUAAUAAUGUAUAUAUAGCCAGCUUACAUCUUGUCCGCUUAGAACCGAAUGAGCCCACCAAUAUUUUUUAACAUCCCUUUUUGUUUUUUUAGAAGAUGGAACAAUAAGACUUGAUCCUCACAAAAAAAGAACAAAAAGACUUGACUGAACUCACCAAUCUUCUUUUUAACAUCCCUUUUGGUUUUCUUAGAUGAUGGAAUACAAAGACUAUGCUGAACUCAGUCACCAAUCUUUCCUUAACAUCCCUUUUUGCUCUUUUAGAUGAUGGUGGAAACAAAAGACUCGAUCCUCACCAAAAAAGAGAAUAAAAGACUUGAGUGAAGUCACCAAUAUUUUUGUAACACCCCUUUUUCUUAAGAACUAAAAUGAAACAUUGAAGACACCAAUCUGACCUGCCACAGGAAUAUAAUGUAGGGAUUCUCUUUGUCAGGGAGCAAGAAAGCUACAGAAUGAUAUUAAAAGAAAAACUGACACGUAGAACGUGGAAAAUGGCUUGGAUCAACAUUAUUUCAGAAUGCUAACCAAAGCAUUCUCCAAAUGCGCAAUGCAGGUGACCCCGGUGCACGCCCUGGGCGCGGGCAUCCGGCCGAUGCAGGGCCUGGUGAUGGAGGUGAUCCUCACCUUCUCCCUCCUGUUCGUCACCUACGCCAUGAUCCUGGACCCGCGGAGCCAGGUCCGCACCAUCGGCCCGCUGCUGACGGGGCUCAUCGUCGGCGCCAACAGCCUCGCCGGCGGCAACUUCACCGGCGCGUCCAUGAACCCGGCCCGGUCCUUCGGGCCGGCCCUGGCCACCGGGGACUGGACCCACCACUGGGUCUACUGGCUCGGCCCGCUGCUGGGUGGGUCCCUCGCCGCGGUCGUCUACGAGUCACUGUUCGUGGUCAACAAGACGCACGAGCCGCUGCUCAAUGGGGACUGCUGACGAUCAGGCCCGGCAAUGGGCUUACAUACAUGAUAUAUAUAGAUAUUAUAUUGGCCAAGGUAAUUAGAGAGGGUUGUUGUAAAAUAGUUCCAGUGUGGAACUUGUUGGAUGUACAAAUUGUUGAUGGGCUUUUAAGGGCAGUAUUCUUUGUUUCUUUUUUUUCUCCAUGUGAAGGGCUUCUUUUUUAAGAGGGCUCUGUCAAAUGAAUUGUUAAGGCUAUUAUUAGUUAGCCAUGUAAAGAAAAUUUGUACUAUCAACUUGUUGGAUGCAAGGGAUUUUUCUAGUUAAAUUGUAUACGAAGGUACUUCUGAUUAUGAGAAGAAAUUGGAAUCAUAUUGCUUCCUUUUGUGCUGAGUAAAGAAGUUCAGUCAUACUACAUUUCCAAUUCGAAAUCAAAAUAAAACAGA